GAUGAACGCUAGCGGCAGGCCUAAUACAUGCAAGUCGAGGGGCAGCAGGAUAGCAAUAUCGCUGGCGACCGGCGCACGGGUGCGUAACACGUAUACAAUCUGCCUUUAACAGGGGGAUAGCCUUUCGAAAGAGAGAUUAAUACCCCAUAACACUUGAAAUAGCAUUAUUUUAAGUUAAAAGCUCCGGCGGUUAAAGAUGAGUAUGCGUCUGAUUAGCUAGUUGGUGAGGUAACGGCUCACCAAGGCGACGAUCAGUAGGGGAUCUGAGAGGA
rnacentral:rRNA from 1 species